rnacentral:rRNA from 1 species
GCGUGAGUGAAGAAGGCCUUCGGGUUGUAAAGCUCUUUCGGCGGGGACGAUGAUGACGGUACCCGCAUAAGAAGCCCCGGCUAACUUCGUGCCAGCAGCCGCGGUAAUACGAAGGGGGCUAGCGUUGUUCGGAAUUACUGGGCGUAAAGCGCGCGUAGGCGGCGGUCUUUGUCAGGGGUGAAAUCCCGGAGCUCAACUCCGGAAUUGCCUUUGAAACGGGGCUGCUUGAGUCCGAGAGAGGAUGGCGGAAUUCCUAGUGUAGAGGUGAAAUUCGU